GACGAACGCUGGCGGCGUGCCUAAUACAUGCAAGUCGAACGCAGUGGGGACGGGGGAGGAACACGUGGGUAACCUCCCAUCAGAGGGGAUAAACCUUGGAAACAGGUGCUAAAACUGAUACUGAAGGAUGGACCCGCGGUGGAUUAGCUAGUGGGGGAGGUAAAGGCUCACCAAGGCUACGAUGCAUAGCCGACCUGAGAGGGUGAUCGGCCACACUGGGACUGAGACACGGCCCAGACUCCUACGGGAGGCAGCAGUAGGGAAUCUUCGGCAAUGGACGAAAGCCUGACCGAGCAACGCCGCGUGAGUGAAGAAGGUUUUCGGAUCGUAAAACUCUGUUGUUAGAGAAGCGGUAUCUAACCAGAAAGCCACGGCUAACUACGUGCCAGCCGCCGCGGUAAUAC
rnacentral:rRNA from 1 species